rnacentral:rRNA from 1 species
AUGUCCGCCACGACGCUGCUUCAGAAGGCGGCGCAGAUGGGCGCCACCUCGUCGAGCUCCUCCUUCCUGCGUGGGUUGGGCCUGGACAUCUCGUCGUCGUCGCCGGCAUCGACGUCGUCAGUUCCCGGAGGGGUCGCUGCAGCAAUGGCCGCCGCGGUUGGAGCCCGAGCCAGCUCCGAUGGUGUCGGCCGGGCUAGGCCUCGGGUUACCAUACGACUCUACGGCGGUCCGAUGGGGUUGCCGAAGCUCAUGAUGGGCCAGUCAUCACUGUUCAAUGCCAAGCCGGCCACGCUGGACUUCCUGGGGCUUGGGAUGAGCCCCACCGACGCAACAACGAGCAAGGGCCUCCCCGUGUUCAUGCAGCCCAUGGGCGGCGCGGGCGGCAUGGCCCGGACCGGCAGCGGCGCGGCGAAGACGUUUUGCUCCGGCCCGAGCGCUUAG